UAUAUUCUGUAGCAAGGUUAACCGAAUAGGGGAGCCGAAGGGAAACCGAGUCUUAACUGGGCGUUAAGUUGCAGGGUAUAGACCCGAAACCCGGUGAUCUAGCCAUGGGCAGGUUGAAGGUUGGGUAACACUAACUGGAGGACCGAACCGACUAAUGUUGAAAAAUUAGCGGAUGACUUGUGGCUGGGGGUGAAAGGCCAAUCAAACCGGGAGAUAGCUGGUUCUCCCCGAAAGCUAUUUAGGUAGCGCCUCGUGAAUUCAUCUCCGGGGGUAGAGCACUGUUUCGGCAAGGGGGUCAUCCCGACUUACCAACCCGAUGCAAACUGCGAAUACCGGAGAAUGUUAUCACGGGAGACACACGGCGGGUGCUAACGUCCGUCGUGAAGAGGGAAACAACCCAGACCGCCAGCUAAGGUCCCAAAGUCAUGGUUAAGUGGGAAACGAUGUGGGAAGGCCCAGACAGCCAGGAUGUUGGCUUAGAAGCAGCCAUCAUUUAAAGAAAGCGUAAUAGCUCACUGGUCGAGUCGGCCUGCGCGGAAGAUGUAACGGGGCUAAACCAUGCACCGAAGCUGCGGCAGCGACACUGUGUGUUGUUGGGUAGGGGAGCGUUCUGUAAGCCUGUGAAGGUGUGCUGUGAGGCAUGCUGGAGGUAUCAGAAGUGCGAAUGCUGACAUAAGUAACGAUAAAGCGGGUGAAAAGCCCGCUCGCCGGAAGACCAAGGGUUCCUGUCCAACGUUAAUCGGGGCAGGGUGAGUCGACCCCUAAGGCGAGGCCGAAAGGCGUAGUCGAUGGGAAACAGGUUAAUAUUCCUGUACUUGGUGUUACUGCGAAGGGGGGACGGAGAAGGCUAUGUUGGCCGGGCGACGGUUGUCCCGGUUUAAGCGUGUAGGCUGGUUUUCCAGGCAAAUCCGGAAAAUCAAGGCUGAGGCGUGAUGACGAGGCACUACGGUGCUGAAGCAACAAAUGCCCUGCUUCCAGGAAAAGCCUCUAAGCAUCAGGUAACAUCAAAUCGUACCCCAAACCGACACAGGUGGUCAGGUAGAGAAUACCAAGGCGCUUGAGAGAACUCGGGUGAAGGAACUAGGCAAAAUGGUGCCGUAACUUCGGGAGAAGGCACGCUGAUAUGUAGGUGAAGUCCCUCGCGGAUGGAGCUGAAAUCAGUCGAAGAUACCAGCUGGCUGCAACUGUUUAUUAAAAACACAGCACUGUGCAAACACGAAAGUGGACGUAUACGGUGUGACGCCUGCCCGGUGCCGGAAGGUUAAUUGAUGGGGUCAGCGCAAGCGAAGCUCUUGAUCGAAGCCCCGGUAAACGGCGGCCGUAACUAUAACGGUCCUAAGGUAGCGAAAUUCCUUGUCGGGUAAGUUCCGACCUGCACGAAUGGCGUAAUGAUGGCCAGGCUGUCUCCACCCGAGACUCAGUGAAAUUGAACUCGCUGUGAAGAUGCAGUGUACCCGCGGCAAGACGGAAAGACCCCGUGAACCUUUACUAUAGCUUGACACUGAACAUUGAGCCUUGAUGUGUAGGAUAGGUGGGAGGCUUUGAAGUGUGGACGCCAGUCUGCAUGGAGCCGACCUUGAAAUACCACCCUUUAAUGUUUGAUGUUCUAACGUGGACCCGUGAUCCGGGUUGCGGACAGUGUCUGGUGGGUAGUUUGACUGGGGCGGUCUCCUCCUAAAGAGUAACGGAGGAGCACGAAGGUUGGCUAAUCCUGGUCGGACAUCAGGAGGUUAGUGCAAUGGCAUAAGCCAGCUUGACUGCGAGCGUGACGGCGCGAGCAGGUGCGAAAGCAGGUCAUAGUGAUCCGGUGGUUCUGAAUGGAAGGGCCAUCGCUCAACGGAUAAAAGGUACUCCGGGGAUAACAGGCUGAUACCGCCCAAGAGUUCAUAUCGACGGCGGUGUUUGGCACCUCGAUGUCGGCUCAUCACAUCCUGGGGCUGAAGUAGGUCCCAAGGGUAUGGCUGUUCGCCAUUUAAAGUGGUACGCGAGCUGGGUUUAGAACGUCGUGAGACAGUUCGGUCCCUAUCUGCCGUGGGCGCUGGAGAACUGAGGGGGGCUGCUCCUAGUACGAGAGGACCGGAGUGGACGCAUCACUGGUGUUCGGGUUGUCAUGCCAAUGGCACUGCCCGGUAGCUAAAUGCGGAAGAGAUAAGUGCUGAAAGCAUCUAAGCACGAAACUUGCCCCGAGAUGAGUUCUCCCUGACCCUUUAAGGGUCCUGAAGGAACGUUGAAGACGACGACGUUGAUAGGCCGGGUGUGUAAGCGCAGCGAUGCGUUGAGCUAACCGGUACUAAUGAACCGUGAGGCUUAACCUUACAACGCCGAAGGUGUUU
rnacentral:rRNA from 1 species